CUGUUCCGCACCCCUUUCUCUGUCUUGCCCGGCCAUCUCUAGCUGACUGACGGAAGACACUCCCUCCCCCACCCCGGGCACACCACCAGAGCCUGCGCUGUUAGCCUGCUCCUAGCUUUUCUUGCUUUCCGCUGGAGACCUUAGGCCAGUCCUUAGCCGCCCAGACUUGGGAUCGGGGUCCCUGCCCUGGAGACCCAAAAGGGAUUUGGGGAGUGCCGGGUGCACCAGCGCCUUGGGACCAGGACUCAAAAGUGUGGUGUAGUCAUGAACACUCGUCUCAAACAAUCUAGAUGCCAGAAUCAUGGCCCACAACAGAAUUCCCCAAGCCCCCCUCACUGAGCUAGUCAGGGAGACAAGCAGCCGCUGAGGGGCGAUAGCAACUGGGGGAAGCAGAGGUCCAGAUGUGUUCUCCACAUUAGGUGCCCAAGCUGUUUCUUAGUUUUUUGCUGCAACAAGAAGCAUUGUCCUGAACACUAUGUUUUCCACUCGACCCUGCGUACAAAAAGUACAGCCCUCCUCAUAGAGUGGGAAGUAAGCCCGCGAGGAAGCCAGGCAGCUGGUGUCGAGCAGUUCUGUCCUCCAAAAUAAGACACAGUGCCUGACUUCAUACAAUCUACUGGAGAACAGAUCUUACACAGACCCAGCGUCACAAUGUGUGUGGUUCCACACUCAACGUGGGGCUUGAAUUGAGGACCCUGAGAUCAAGAGUCAGAUGCCCUACCAACUGAGCCAGCCAGGCCCGCCUCUUCCUCCUCUAUUACCAUUGAUGUCUUAGCCAUACACAAGUAUUUAGCUGUUAAUUGUGUUGUUUGCCCUUUAUACAGAGCAAAUUCUCAAUAGGCAUUUCUUGGAUGAAAUGAAUGGAAGAAUAUCA